CAAGAUGGUGAUCUUGCUUGAGUCC
rnacentral:misc_RNA from 1 species